rnacentral:rRNA from 1 species
GACGUAGGGUCCAAGCGUUGUCCGGAUUUACUGGGCGUAAAGAGCGCGUAGGCGGCUCGUUAAGUGUGAAGUGAAAUCUCCAGGGCUCAACCCGGAAACUGCUUCGCAUACUGGCGAGCUGGAGUGACGAAGAGGUUUGUGGAAUUCCUGGUGUAGCGGUGAAAUGCGUUGAUAUCAGGAGGAACACCAGUGGCGAAGGCGGGACUCUGGGCCGAUACUGACGCUGAGGAGCGAAAGCGUGGGGAGCAAACAGG